UUCACUUAUCCAAAGAUGUUCUGAGGGCAGAAAGGAAAAUGAUUGGUUUAUAGAUUUAACCAAUGAAAUUGAAGCAGAGGCGGGGUCAGGAAAUUUGGACGUGUGGAGGGAACACUUCAGACAGAAACGUUAUUAAUGCUUCGUGGGAGGCAUUUGCUGCAAGAAAAACUUCUUGGAAAAUGCAGAAGUCGUCACUGGUCCAUACUUGGAGAAAGGGAAUCUCUGGACUUUCUUUAUGCUGUGCAGUGAGAUGGUCAGUGAUGUAGUGUUCCUGGCAUGGAAGUUUCCUGCACAAAAGAAAGUGGUCCAGAAAAUAUAUGAAAAUGAGGAUGUUCAUGAUUCAAUAUCCCAAACUAAAGCCUUUAAAGAAGACCUUACAAACAUUUCUGGAGACUUUGAGAGACCGGUUUUGAGAAGAUAUUUGGCAAAGCAACCUAUGACCUUGGGCUUGGUUUAAAGGGAGCCUGUUCAAAUUUGACAACUCAUGUCUAAAAUAAAAAUAAAUAAAAAACUUAAAAACCUCUAGGAAUGAUGAUAUCCACUAGUUAAGACUACAGCAGUUUAAUGAUAUAACUUGCUUAACUUUUUUGUUGUGAAACGUUCCUUUGUUUUAUAAAUGCAUUUAAUUCACUGGAUUUGAUUGUAAUUUGUAAUUGUAUAAAAACAAAGAAGUCAUAAUUAAACUUAUUUUAUUGUAAUAUUGGACCUGUAAACUGAUUAUUUUCAAUCAUUAUUUUCAGUUCUUUCAUUUUGUUCUUAAACAAUCUGUACAACAGAUAUUGAAUGAUACAACAUUAACAACACGAUUAUUAAAAAAUAAAUAAAUAACUCACAAGUUAUAAUUAAAAUUACAAGUCUUAAUUUCUCUGCAAUAGUCCAUGGGAGGAACAUUAAGAGGUUGCACAAAAACUGACUGGUACCUUUUGUAAUCACAUUUAUGUAUCACCAAGUGAAAUCUGUGAGAGAAGCCCUAUUCAGACAGUAGGAACCUAUGUAAAAAUUUAUGUACAUGGCACCUCAGUGAUAAAACUCAUGGAUCUGAUUUAUUCACAGUGUGAUUAUAUGAACCC